GGCCUGUUAGGUGUGCAAAUAGUUCAAUACUUAGGUUUUCCUUAUUCUUCUCUAAAGUGUGACUGGGUUCAAAAUGUUAUUAAUUUUCUACUUUAGAUCAUAUUAUGACAAUAUAAGCUCCAUUGUUUUAAUGGGCUCAUCAGAUAAAUCGGUUGUGGAUGCAUUGAAACAUAGAUUAUUAAGAUAACCUCCAUGUCUCAUAUGCGCAAGUCGCCUUUGGGGGAAGGACGAUUGUCGAUGGUGUUGAAUUGGUGAAUCUAUACGUAUGAUGUUAUGAAGUGUCCAUCAUGACUUGACCACACUAUUUGAAGAGCAUAGUCCUCUACAAAGCAUGUAGACUUAAGGCAGCAUAAGUCGAAAUACCCAGCCGAUUUAGUAAUCUGACCUCGGACCACAGACCGGUAGCUACUAAGUCCAGAACGCACUCAAUAGGAUACAAAAAAAAUACAACAACCUGUGGACAAUAUUAAGCAACAAUUACAUAAUCGAUCUGUUGAUUAAACAAAGCCAAUUAACAAGGCUAACAAUCAUUGGUUAGUAGGCCUACUGCCAGAUAUUCUUCAAAGAAUAGUGAACACCUAAUACUGACAUAGCCCUAAGGUAAUGUCAACAAAACAGAACAAAACAGAAGGGAUGAGAAAAACAAGCGAAUAGUCUAGCAUGCUCAAUGGAGUUUUAGUGGGAGAAAAACAAGCGAAUAGUCUAGCCUGCUCAAUGGAGUUUUAGUGGGAGAAAAACAAGCGAAUAGUCUAGCAUGCUCAAUGGAGUUUUAGUGGGAGAAAAACAAGCGAAUAGUCUA
rnacentral:sRNA from 1 species